CCGCACGCGCGCUACACUGACGGAGCCAGCAAGUACAACCUUGGUCGAGAGGCCCGGGUAAUCUCGUGAAACUCCGUCGUGCUGGGGAUAGAGCAUUGUAAUUUUUGCUCUUCAACGAGGAAUUCCUAGUAAGCGCAAGUCAUCAGCUUGCGUUGAUUACGU
rnacentral:rRNA from 1 species